GCCAGCCUGGUGUAGUGGUUUGAGUGCUGGACUAUGACUCUGGAGACCAGUGAUCGAAUCCUGGCUUGGCC